GCGAUUGGGAUGAGGGAAUGAGAUGGACAGAUUCACAGUUGCUGGGGAGCCCCGGUUGCAGGAAGGAUCUGGAGAAGCCGUCCCAGCAGUUGGGAACUCAUACAGCGAUGUGUCCACCCCGGAGGUGAGGUCUGCAGAGCCACUGCAAGCACGUCCAGCCUUGAUGCCCGUGAAUGAACGCAGCAGUCAGGCGAGACUGAAUUGGAAAGUGAAAGUGCUGCUACUAUGGAACUUCAACCAAUUCCUGGGGAGAAAAAGACAGGACAACCUCUGCAGGUUCUUUCUGCAUCUCCCUGGGGCACUGGCAGCAGUGCUGAAGACACUCA
rnacentral:lncRNA from 1 species